CCUGGAGGCUUUUGGCCAACAGAGUUUCCUGAGUUCCCCCUGCAAGAAGGACAGUGAUAGCUUUUGAGUGCUGGUAGAUCCUUUGAAUAGAUAGCCUUGAGUGUGUCCUUGUUGCACCAGUAAGCCUUGUCCAACUCCCCAUAUUCCAGGAGAUAUACAUAUUGAAGUUUAAAAUGAUCCUUUUCCUAAUCCUUUGUUGUCUUGAGGCUCUCCCCUGCAGGAACUCCAGGAACUCCUGGUGCCGCCUGGGCCGAUGGAUUGGACGCCCCAGCCCCUCCGUUCCUGCCCAGCCACUGGGUCCGUGUCCAGUGGUGGCACUGCCAGCCCUGCAGUGGGAUGUAGCCUGGAAAGUGCACAGAGCUGAGCUAAGGGAUUGAAAGGGAUCAAGCAAGGGAGGUGAAGAAAGAAGGAAGAAGGGAAGUGAGGCAGCAGGCAAACAGCACCAAGUUGCUGUGUAAGCAGUGGGAUGUACCCUAGAAACUCCAUGGAGCUGAGCCAAGGCAUUUAGAGGGAUUAAGCAAGCGAAGUAAAGAAAGAAUGAAGAAGGGAACUGAGAGAGCAGCCAAGCAGCACCAAGUUCCUCUACAACCAGGAGAAAAUGGGGAAAGCAGGAAGGAAGAAAAGCAGCCCCCUGACUCCUCCCUGAGCCCCAGACAGCCCAUGAACUGCCUUGCUGGGAAUGGUAGGACAGGCUGGACUCUGGAUUGCUCCCUCUGGAUGUGUGGAACUCCAGGAACUCCUGGUGCCGCCUGGGCCGAUGGAUUGGACGCCCCAGCCCCUCCGUUCCUGCCCAGCCCCUGGGUCCGUGUCCAGUGGUGGCACUGCCAGCCCUGCAGGUGAAGUGGGAAGGGCCUUUCCAGGUCUUGUGGGUCACAUUGAUAGCAGCUGACAUUGCAGAAAAAGGACCUGGGGUCUGUUAUUGUUGAGUUCAGAAAGCUCCUUUUGGUUGGUGAGCAGAACAAAGUGGAUCCUUCAGAGUUCCCAUCCGUGUUUGUGUCUCAGCCUGUGUUAGGAUUCAGGGCUGUAGCUGUUGUUGUCACUGAGGAGUCAAACUCUGCUUUAAAUAAUGAGACACUGGCCUGAUGGCCAAGUGUCAAGAAUAAAGGGGGAAUGAUAUCUGAGUGCUGAGAUGUAACAAGAGCUGAUCCUUUUUGCAGUGGGAGGUAGCCUGGAAAGUGCACAGAGCUGAGCCAAGGGAUUGAAAGGGACCAAGCAAGGGAAGUGAAGAAAGAAGGAAGAAGGGAAGUGAGGCAGCAGGCAAGCAGCAGCAAGUUGCUGUGUAAGCAGGUGAGUUGUGUUGAGGUUCCUCAGGCAGGCACUGAGGACUUUGAGGGCUCCAGACAGAGCAGACCUGGGAAGGCCCUCGGUGAAGCCCCUUGGAAACCUUUUAAGGGUAGGUGUGUAUGGUAAUAAGUGUUGGAGAAUGUCCUGACUGUGGAACAGGAAUGCAGGGAAGGAAAAUGAACCCUCCUGUAAUGCUGACCCCUCCCAUCAGCUGCAGUGGAGACACUUCCGUGUGCCCUUUGGGAUCUGAUUGCCAGGGCACCCGUGGGGCUGGGAUCAUGGCAGGGUGUUGUAAGCAAGGAAUGCCUGGCUUCUAAAACUCACCUGCUGAGUCUUAGAGGCUUCGUUGAAGAGCUGAGUUGAGGCAGCAGAAUUGCCCCCCCAGGAGGGACUCUGUGCCUGCUCUCCCGUGGCUCCAAGGGAUCUCUGGCCCUUCACGCCGGCACCGAGAUUUUCUCGGGAAGGGCCUCAGAUCCCCGGACCAGUCUGGGACACAGGCAAGAUCCCCCUGCAUUUUAGGA